GCACAUAUAUUUCAUCUGUGGAUAAAUAUGAAUUGUCCUUGCACAUAGAGUUCAUCUCCAGAUGGAUGUUCCCCAUCCUUUUCAUGUAGAGUACUUCUCCAGAUAGAUAUGCAUUGUCCUUGCAUAUUUUUUUGGUGAAAUGGAGAUGUGGAACAACAUCUGGAAUUCCGCAGGCUUUGAAUUCUAUGUGGAUUUAGGUUUGAUUACAUUUGUUAUGUAGUUUGGAGCCUGACCGAUUGAACUAACAUCUUAAAAUUAAAUUCUUUGACUUUCUAGAAGCAGUUGAGCUCCCAGAAGAGGCAUGGUAGUCAACUGAACUUUGUUAAAUGGUAGACAAGUAUUUGCAUGUUAACUUUAUUUCAUUUGGUCUUUUUAUAAGUGAUUAUACUCUUGUAAAGGGACUGCCAAUGCAACAAAAAAAUUGUGAUGCCAUUUAUUAGCUAUAACGGUUAUUUUGCCAUGAUUUUAGGAUUUUUUUUUCCAAAAAUUAAACAGUUUUCCCUUCAGAUGUUUUUACAGGUCUGUUAAUUGCAUACUUUCUAAACUUAACUAAACUAUGUAUGCAAAUGUUUGUGCAUCAAACAUGCCCUCAUCAGUUAUUUUCCCACCAGUGUGAGACACAUAGCUACCAUCGGAAAUCUAGGACAUAUUGCUACACAAAGAGAGAAGACAGGGAAGGGCACUGGUAGAUAUAUCCAAUUAUCAUGUAAAUAAUUUUUUUUUUACUUUUAUCAAUAUUUAGAUAUGCCAGACCAGCAUGGAGUACCAGAAUUCAUUUUCCGGCCUGUCCUCAAAAGGAAGGAGCUUAUAAAAACUGGCAGCAGAGACUACUGACUCAAAGGCAUAAAAGGCAAUCUGCCUUGAGCAGAAGCAUAUUCCUCUAAACUACAAGGAGGAAGUGACAUAGCGUCCAAGAAAUUCAACAAGGGAGAUGCCCUAGAUGAGUUCCCAGCACUGACAAUUUAGUCAGUGCUGACAUCUUUAAUGAAAUACCCCCAAGAUACCAAGUUGAGACCGAGUGGUGUCACGCCAUGGAAGAGAUGGGGCUAGAAACCACUGAUGUCAGUAACUAAGGGGAACUAUUACAGGUGGGCAUAGCCAGCUUGGAACAACCAGAGCCAAGGCAGAAUCUGCCUGGGUCAUAUCCCAGCAAUCGAAAUUGGCUGGUCGAGCUGGAGCUGGAGCUCUCACACUCAAAGCCGGAUGCAAUUUUCUCUGAUAGGGACCAAUGCUGCUUUUCCACAGUUCCACUCCUUAUUCAGACACAAUGUGUCGAAACCUGAUGCCUGGGUCCUCACAGUCUAGGUGACAAGCAGGGUCCAGGAGAGUAAUUGAUGACCUCAAAAACAGAAUACCUUCUGCACCAUCUUCACAUGAAAUGCCAGAGAUUGCCCUGAUGGAGUAGAAGAAAAGAGAAAAAUAUUAAACCUGGUAACCCAUAGGGGCAUGAGGGUGAUAUGUAAAAUGAAUAUGGACCAGAGGUCUACGUCAACAGAACCGAAGGAUUUUUGUUCAGGGGGGGGGCAAAGUCAAGAUAAUCGGGACAAACAUGAUCUUACACUGGUGGAUUCAUAUGGGGGUGGGGAUGCACACCCCUUUUAGAUUGAAAGAUCAAUUUACGGAUAGCUUCAGUGAAGAAAAAGACCAUUUGGGUGACAAAGCAAUAUUUAAGUGGUUGUUUUCCAUUCUAAAAUUAUGUUUCAAAAUUGCUUAAAUAGAUCUUUAAGCAUUUUCAAUCUAUGAAAUUUGUUUUUAAUGUCCUGAAUUAGAAUUAUGAUUUUUGGCUAGAUUUAGUUAUAAAAUAGAAGUAUAACUGAAAGUGAUCAAUACCCAAUGCCAUUACUAUGGUUUCCCACAUGUUUAGAAAAUCAAUUUUGCACGUCUACCCCAAGAUGAACAUAUAUGGCAACUUUCAUGUGCACUAGCAAAAAAAAUACAAAAGGGAUCCUAAAUAAGGUUUCCCGGUUUUGGACAAUAUGUGGUUACCAUAUACGGUGAAACAAUUUUUUUUUCUUUGGACAAAUGCAAAAAUGUGUACUGCACGUCUUUAGCUCACAACAAAUGAGUAAGCCAAAUUUCAUUAGAAAUUAUUUAAAAACUAAUGAAGUAGUUUAAACUACAAGAUUUUUCCUUAAUUUUCUCUCUGUAUGCUGCUACCAUUGCAAUACAAUAUCCAACACACAUAAAGAAGUCUUGCACAUCUUUACAUGAAGACCAGUGGGCAUGUUAAUUUUAUCAGUAUUGGUUAAAAACUGAGAUCUUUACCUAAUUUUAACAAUAUAUUUUGAGCAUGGCAACAUACUUUCUGUCACAUGCGGAAAAUAUGUCUUGCAAAUAUAAAAUCAUUCUGAUGACAUAGCAAAAUCUAAUGUUUUUUUGUAUUUAGAUACUUUUUCAAACAUGAAUCGUUUAAUCGAUGAAAAAAAAUGAAUGUCCUGAACUAUAGUUGUCAGAAUGGUUUGUCACCAAAAUGGCCAUUAAUGAAAAAGACCAUUUUUGUGACAAAAAAAAAUUGGUUUUGUUUUCAAACAUUUUUUCUUCUUUAUGAAACAAAAUCCAUGAAGUGAAUUUUUGAAAGUCAUGAUUUAUUAUUAUGAUGUUUGGAUAGCCUUAGUUCUGAAAGACACUAGUGACAAAGCAAAAUAAAUAAGACCAUUUUGGGCCCCAUUUUACAAAUGGUUACAAUUGAUCUGAACAAUUAUAACUCUAUGGAAGUCCAUCAGUGUCAUAAUCAAUGUCCUUUGUCUGCAAAGAAAAGUGCUAAGAAUUUUAAAGAAAACAAUGAAUUCAUGAAUAUACAUCAUAGCUAGAAAAUAUUUUGAACAAUCAUG